rnacentral:tRNA from 1 species
GCCCUGGAGGCAGAAUGGUUAAAUGCUCAGCUGCUAACUGAAAGGCUGGCAGUUCGAAUCUACCCAACGGCU